rnacentral:rRNA from 1 species
AGCGAAGCACUUUGCUUAGAUUCUUCGGAUGAAGAGGAUUGUGACUGAGCGGCGGACGGGUGAGUAACGCGUGGGUAACCUGCCUCAUACAGGGGGAUAACAGUUAGAAAUGACUGCUAAUACCGCAUAAGACCACAGCACCGCAUGGUGCGGGGGUAAAAACUCCGGUGGUAUGAGAUGGACCCGCGUCUGAUUAGCUAGUUGGUAAGGUAACGGCUUACCAAGGCGACGAUCAGUAGCCGACCUGAGAGGGUGACCGGCCACAUUGGGACUGAGACACGGCCCAAACUCCUACGGGAGGCAGCAGUGGGGAAUAUUGCACAAUGGGGGAAACCCUGAUGCAGCGACGCCGCGUGAGCGAAGAAGUAUUUCGGUAUGUAAAGCUCUAUCAGCAGGGAAGAAAAUGACGGUACCUGACUAAGAAGCACCGGCUAAAUACGUGCCAGCAGCCGCGGUAAUACGUAUGGUGCAAGCGUUAUCCGGAUUUACUGGGUGUAAAGGGAGCGUAGACGGAUGGGCAAGUCUGAUGUGAAAACCCGGGGCUCAACCCCGGGACUGCAUUGGAAACUGUUCAUCUAGAGUGCUGGAGAGGUAAGUGGAAUUCCUAGUGUAGCGGUGAAAUGCGUAGAUAUUAGGAGGAACACCAGUGGCGAAGGCGGCUUACUGGACAGUAACUGACGUUGAGGCUCGAAAGCGUGGGGAGC